AAUAUACUUAUAUGUGUGCUCUAAAAGUUCAGCAUAAGUCUGAGAGAGAAUUUUAUCUAGGAAGUAAGUAAAUCUGGAUCCCUUCAGAUCUCUUUUCAUGAUCGAGAUGGCCAUAUCUUCGUUGAAAUCUCGACUUCAAGUGUCACGAUGUUAAAGUGGACCAUAAAGUCUCUUAGCAUCUUUGAUUCACCUUGUUUGAUGGAGAAGAG
rnacentral:lncRNA from 1 species